UGCCUUUGGGCCCGGCGGAGAUGCUGCCGGGGCGUGCCGAAGUCGACCUCGAAAUCGACUCCUGGAGUUCUCUGUUACGGUGCCUUUCCGUUCCCCCCUGGAAGCUCAGGCGGCUCGCAGGUCUUUGAUCUCUAAUGCUCGGCGCCAGCAAAUGAUGGUUCAGCAGGAGUUCACAGUGGAUAACAGUACCCUGUCUGUUAGGUGGACCGCUGAAGACCCGAUUCUCUUCCGACUUUCCAUUAACAACUUCCUCGACCAGCUUUUCCUGGUGAUGAGGAACAUUCAGCAUCUACAGUGGGUGGAAGGUGCAAAACGAGGACGUGGAAGUAGGCCUGAUUUCUAGUGUUUGGGUGCUUUCCUCGUCCAAACAUGACAAAGGCAGAGCAUUUCAUGUUUAGGGUUCAAUAUUUUAUCAAAGUCCAGGUUUUUGACUCUGUGUUCUCCAUCCCAGUCUCUUGGUAGACUUGUUUUCCUGUUGUUAAAAGAGUGGAUACUUAAAUACUUAAAUGCUUGUUUCUGAAGUAAAUAAAUAAAGCAGAGUACCGUG